rnacentral:rRNA from 1 species
AAACUGGGGAACUUGAGUGCAGAAGAGGAGAGUGGAAUUCCACGUGUAGCGGUGAAAUGCGUAGAGAUGUGGAGGAACACCAGUGGCGAAGGCGACUCUCUGGUCUGUAACUGACGCUGAGGAGCGAAAGCGUGGGGAGCGAACAGGAUUAGAUACCCUGGUAGUCCACGCCGUAAACGAUGAGUGCUAAGUGUUAGGGGGUUUCCGCCCCUUAGUGCUGCAGCUAACGCAUUAAGCACUCCGCCUGGGGAGUACGGUCGCAAGACUGAAACUCAAAGGAAUUGACGGGGGCCCGCACAAGCGGUGGAGCAUGUGGUUUAAUUCGAAGCAACGCGAAGAACCUUACCAGGUCUUGACAUCCUCUGACAAUCCUAGAGAUAGGACGUCCCCUUCGGGGGCAGAGUGACAGGUGGUGCAUGGUUGUCGUCAGC